CAGUCAAGGAUUCAUGCGUCUGAUCAGUCUGUUUGAGCAAAUGCCAUAGAAUUUAGAAGGAGAAAACCCACAGUCAUGGUGUGUGCUUAGGGGUCCCAUUCCAUCGAAAUCUGUGAAUGGACUUUUGAAAUUGCUAACUGCAGAGAACUGCAUCUCGAGCUCAACUAGGGAUGGCAAAGCAAGUCCCCUGCAGAGCAGAAGCGAUCCGCAUCUUGUGGCACUUGGGACUGAACUCUUUCUCUUUUCUAGGACAUCAAAAGCACCUGGAGCAGGUGUGAGAAGGUGAAGUUCGAGAAACCAAUGGCUGUGUCACAGGAUGUGAGCGAGAGAAUUGGCGUCUCUUCCCAAAGAAAUGUUUGUCUACAGGAGGCUCUGAAGAAAUUCAGAGAGACCCUGCCCUAUCAACUGAACUUUCUGAUCUCCAAGGCAGAGAAAGAGGAGUGAACACUGGCAUUUUUGUCUGUUUGAAUAAUCAAAGUGGUGCUUUCCGUGCCUUCUUGGCUGCAAAGAUUUGAACUGCUUCCUGCUGGAGGUCCACCGUCUGGGCCAGCUCAUGCUCUGUUGAGAUGGUUGCAAGGCCGACCAGCCUAU